CUGGCAGCCCACAACAGUGCAACCCCCGAUCAACUUCGCCACCACCCACUACUGAAGGAAACGAGCAACCCGGUGAAGAUUGUCACGUCAUUCAAGAAAAUGUCCAAGCCUCUAACCGCCAUGAUGAAUCAUCCUCACCACCCUCCGAUCCAGAUCCCUUCGCUGAAGACUUCCCAUUAGAUGAAGAUUUGAUGGGGAGUAAUAAUAAUAAUAAUGAAGCAUCGCGCGUUGGUGGAGGUGUAGGAACCAGAAGGGGAUCUUCACUCACGAGGGAAAGAACGGAGGGUAAUAAGGUAGUGAGUACCAUUCAUUAUGCGGCUGCAGUAGGGUCACACAUCGACGUGGCAAUGAAGUUAAGUAGUAGCAUAACCCGAUUACGCGAAGAUGU